GAUGAACGCUGGCGGCGUGCCAAAUACAUGCAAGUAGAACGCUGAAGGAGGAGCUUGCUCUUCUGGAUGAGUUGCGAACGGGUGAGUAACGCGUAGGUAACCUGCCUGGUAGCGGGGGAUAACUAUUGGAAACGAUAGCUAAUACCGCAUGACAACAGUUAUUGCAUGAUAACUGUUUAAAAGGGGCAACUGCUCCACUACCAGAUGGACCUGCGUUGUAUUAGCUAGUUGGUGAGGUAACGGCUCACCAAGGCGACGAUACAUAGCCGACCUGAGAGGGUGAUCGGCCACACUGGGACUGAGACACGGCCCAGACUCCUACGGGAGGCAGCAGUAGGGAAUCUUCGGCAAUGGACGGAAGUCUGACCGAGCAACGCCGCGUGAGUGAAGAAGGUUUUCGGAUCGUAAAGCUCUGUUGUAAGAGAAGAACGAGUGUGAGAGUGGAAAGUUCACACUGUGACGGUAUCUUACCAGAAAGGGACGGCUAACUACGUG
rnacentral:rRNA from 1 species